rnacentral:rRNA from 1 species
UACGUAGGUGACCAGCGUUGUCCGGAUUUACUGGGCGUAAAGAGCGCGCAGGCGGUCGUUCAAGUCGAGUGUGAAAGCCCCCGGCUCAACUGGGGAGGGUCAUUCGAUACUGAUCGACUUGAAGGCAGGAGAGGGAAGUGGAAUUCCCGGUGUAGUGGUGAAAUGCGUAGAGAUCGGGAAGAACAUCAGUGGCGAAGGCGGCCUGCUGGGCUGUUGCUGACGCUGAGGCGCGACAGCGUGGGGAGCAAACAGG